CAAGAGUGAAUGAAUGAGAUCUAGGUGUUAUCAUGAGUGAAUGUGAACCAUGCCCAACACUUUCCCUCUUGUGUACCGUCACUACGCAAGGAUGGUCAACUAUUUGACAAUAAGAACACGGCAUGAUGAUUGUUCUAGGUAACCAACAAAGCAACCGAAAGGAGCGCUGGCUAGCCAUUACAUGAAAGAGCAUCAUCAAUAUAUGAAUGAUAACAAACAGAUCUUCAAUAAUAGGUUUGACAAUUAUAAAUAAAGAUCUCCAUACAACCCCAAGGACAAAUAGAGACUUUAC
rnacentral:lncRNA from 1 species